GCCUUCUUGGCUCAGAUGGCAGAGCGUCUGCCUAGUAAGCAGAAGGUCGAGAGUUCGAUUCUCUCAGAAGGCA